UACGUAGGGUGCGAGCGUUAAUCGGAAUUACUGGGCGUAAAGCGUGCGCAGGCGGUUUUGUAAGUCAGAUGUGAAGUCCCCGGGCUUAACCUGGGAAUGGCAUUUGGGACUGCAAGGCUCGAGUGCGGCAGAGGAGACUGGAAUUCCUGGUGUAGCAGUGAAAUGCGUAGAUAUCAGGAGGAACACCGAUGGCGAAGGCAGGUCUCUGGGCUGACACUGACGCUCAUGCACGAAAGCGUGGGGAGCAAACAGG
rnacentral:rRNA from 1 species